UGGCAGCGUUCUGAGGCCAUUUGAAACGGAAAAGCUCCAGCAAAGUGAUUUGGAGUGCGCGUCUUCAGCCUAUAGAUCGAGCACUAGCUACUGUCGCAGGUAAAUUGCGUCUGUUGCAGUCAGCCUCAGAGACCAAGGUGAGCACUUGCAGUUUUGGGAUCAUUUCUUUCUCCUUCGGUAUGGAUGACACAUUUUUUUCCUUUUUGAGACUAGCCAAUUGUUGUACAUAUCUUUGGUCCAUUUUUGGGACUUGUACUCAUUGUCAUUUUGUAACAGCUCUGUACUUGUGACCUCCAGGUUAUGGGAGGGAUCUUUAGUUGUAUAUAUCAUAUUUUGGUUUGCUUCUA